rnacentral:rRNA from 1 species
AGCAGCCGCGGUAAUUCCAGCUCCAAUAGCGUAUAUUAAAGUUGUUGCAGUUAAAAAGCUCGUAGUUGAAUUUUGGGUUUGGCCGAUUGGUCCGUUCUUGUAACGAGUACUGGUCGGUCGGGCCUCACCGCCUGGUGAUGCGUAAUGCCCUUUAUUGGGUGUUGCGAGUAGUCAGGACCUUUACCUUGAAAAAAUUAGAGUGUUUAAAGCAGGCUUAUGCCGGAAUACAUUAGCAUGGAAUAAUAGAAUAGGACGAUGAUUCUAUUUUGUUGGUUUCUAGGAGCAUCGUAAUGAUUAAUAGGGAUAGUUGGGGGCAUUAGUAUUCAAUUGUCAGAGGUGAAAUUCUUGGAUUUAUUGAAGACUAACUACUGCGAAAGCAUUUGCCAAGGAUGUUUUCAUUAAUCAAGAACGAAAGUUAGGGGAUCGAAGACGAUCAGAUACCGUCGUAGUCUUAACCAUAAACUAUGCCGACUAGGGAUCGGGCGAUGUUGUUUCAAUGACUCGCUCGGCACCUUAUG